rnacentral:lncRNA from 1 species
CCUGCUGGGACAGGCCUCAGAGGUCAAGCUGGGGGAAAGAGUGAAAACUGAGGAAGAGACAGCAUUCAAGUAAUUUGCUCAAAGUCAUACAGCAAAGUGAUUGAAAUGCAUUUCCUUCUCUACCUGGUGAACUCCUACUUAUCCUUUAAACUCCUGCACAAAUGUCCCCUCAUUGAGAAGCCUUUCCUGACUCCUUCAGGCACAGCCUGUGGACUUGGUGUGGUGCACCCCAUACCCCCUUCUGUUACAGCACUGAUCUAUUUGUGUUAUGUGUUCACACAGCAACGGGGGUGACUUCUGUGUGCCGGGCACAAUACAGGAGCUUAGAAAAUCACAGUGAACAAAUAUCUGAAUCACUGCCCUCACGGAAUUUGUGGGGAAGGGUGACAUAGACCAUUAUCAAGUAAACACAAAUGAGAUAAUUUCAGGUAUAAUAGGUGCUAUUAAAAAAAAAAACAAACAAACAAAAAACAG